UGUCCAGUCAUCUGGGAUGUCUUCGGUC
rnacentral:piRNA from 1 species